rnacentral:rRNA from 1 species
UACGUAGGGAGCAAGCGUUGUCCGGAAUCAUUGGGCGUAAAGCGCGCGUAGGCGGCCUCAUAAGUCCGUUGUGAAAGUCAAAGGCUCAACCUUUGAAAGCCGAUGGAUACUGUGAGGCUAGAGUCCGGAAGAGGCGAGUGGAAUUCCUGGUGUAGCGGUGAAAUGCGUAGAUAUCAGGAGGAACACCGGUGGCGAAGGCGGCUCUCUGGACGGAUACUGACGCUGAGGCGCGAAAGCGUGGGGAUCAAACAGG